rnacentral:rRNA from 1 species
UACGUAGGGUGCGAGCGUUGUCCGGAAUUAUUGGGCGUAAAGAGCUCGUAGGCGGUCUGUCGCGUCGGAUGUGAAAGCCCGGGGCUUAACUCCGGGUCUGCAUUCGAUACGGGCAGACUAGAGUGUGGUAGGGGAGAUCGGAAUUCCUGGUGUACCGGUGAAAUGCGCAGAUAUCAGGAGGAACACCGGUGGCGAAGGCGGAUCUCUGGGCCAUUACUGACGCUGAGGAGCGAAAGCGUGGGGAGCGAACAGG